GCCCUGAGGCAUAGCUCAGUUGGUAGAGCAUGAGAUGCUUAAUCUCAGGGUUCUGGGUUCAGCCCCACAUUGGGUG